GAAGCCACCAUACAGCAGAGGCUGGGUUAA
rnacentral:piRNA from 1 species